CAGUAGCCGCGGUAAUACGAACCGUGCGAACGUUAUUCGGAAUCACUGGGCUUAAAGCGCGUGUAGGCGGGCCGUCACGUCGGCUGCUGAAAUCCCCCGGCUCAACCGGGGAAGUGGCACCGAUACGAGCGGCCUUGAGGGGGGUAGGGGGGUCUGGAACUUCCGGUGGAGCGGUGAAAUGCGUUGAGAUCGGAAGGAACGCCCGUGGCGAAAGCGAGGCCCUGGACCCUUUCUGACGCUGAGACGCGAAAGCCAGGGGAGCGAACGGGAUUAGAUACCCCAGUAGUCCCUGUCUCUUAUU
rnacentral:rRNA from 1 species